ACAACCCAAACUUCUGAAAUGUUGACCUCGGA
rnacentral:rRNA from 1 species